UCUUUACGUUUAGCUUUGCUAUGCCAAGAUGUGUCCCGACUUUCCCUUUUUAUCCAUUUCAUUGUAUUGUGAAGAGUAGACAUGGACCUCCGAAGACCUACCCAUGCAGGGAUUAUAUCCCAAACUGAAUGGCUGAAAGGGUAAGUGAAAAACAGGUGCCCAAUAUAUUCAUCCAUACUCUCAAAAAGGCUGCACCUUCGAUCAAUCUGUCCUUAGUUAGCAGUUUAGACUUAGCUGCUAACCACAUAAUAAAGACAUGUUUCGGUGUCACAUAUGCAUUCUAAACACAGUCGGCC
rnacentral:lncRNA from 1 species